AAAUUGAAGAGUUUGAUCAUGGCUCAGAUUGAACGCUGGCGGCAGGCCUAACACAUGCAAGUCGAACGGUAACAGGAAGCAGCUUGCUGCUUCGCUGACGAGUGGCGGACGGGUGAGUAAUGUCUGGGAAACUGCCUGAUGGAGGGGGAUAACUACUGGAAACGGUAGCUAAUACCGCAUAAUGUCGCAAGACCAAAGAGGGGGACCUUCGGGCCUCUUGCCAUCGGAUGUGCCCAGAUGGGAUUAGCUUGUUGGUGGGGUAACGGCUCAC
rnacentral:rRNA from 2 species